GAAAUGCGAUAAGUAAUGUGAAUUGCAGAAUUCAGUGAAUCAUCGAAUCUUUGAACGCACAUUGCGCCCGCCAGUAUUCUGGCGGGCAUGCCUGUUCGAGCGUCAUUUCAACCAUCAAGCCCCGCGCUUGUGUUGGGGACCUGCGGCUGCCGCAGGCCCUGAAAACCAGUGGCGGGCUCGCUGUCACACCGAGCGUAGUAGAUUUCUCAUCUCGCUCAGGGCGUGCUGCGGGUUCCGGCCGCAAAAAAGCCUUAUUUUACCCAAGGUUGACCUCGGAUCAGGUAGGAAGACCCGCUGAACUUAAGC
rnacentral:misc_RNA from 1 species